rnacentral:rRNA from 1 species
UACGAAGGGGCUAGCGUUGCUCGGAAUCACUGGGCGUAAAGCGCACGUAGGCGGCUUUCUAAGUCAGGGGUGAAAUCCUGGAGCUCAACUCCAGAACUGCCUUUGAUACUGGAGAGCUCGAGUCCGGAAGAGGUGAGUGGAACUGCGAGUGUAGAGGUGAAAUUCGUAGAUAUUCGCAAGAACACCAAUGGCGAAGGCAGCCACCUGGCAUAAUACUGACGCUGAGGCGCGAAAGCGUGGGGAGCAAACAGG